AAUAUAAUUCCACCGGGAACAACGCUCAAGCGUUUUAAGCACUUCAUUAGGUCAUAGAAGAAGUGUUUGAAUGACUUGUUUUUUU
rnacentral:ncRNA from 1 species